UUUCUACUCCCUCCGUCCGAAAAUACUUGUCAUGAAAAUGGAUAAAAAUAGAUGUAUCUAAAACUAAAAUACGUCUAGAUACAUUUCCUUUUAUCCAUUUUGAUGACAAGUAUUUCCGGACGGAGGGAGUAUUUG
rnacentral:pre_miRNA from 1 species